UAUAUACAUGAACUUGCGGUUACAGCUCAACAGCUGGCCUCGGUAGCUCAGUUGGUUAGAGCGCUGCACCGGACUCGCAGGGCCGUGGGUUCAAUUCCUACCAGAGGACCUUGUGCUGCAUUUUUCGCAGUCGUUCCUGGUUAGGUCUUCAAAUGUAUAUAUUCUCACUUGGAUUACAAACCCUUACAUCCUAAUAUUAAUUCCACCAAGUGAAGUGCAAGAAUCUAA